ACGAGACAAGAAAUAAAGUUUUGAUAACAUAUCGCCUAUAAUAAUUACUCAUUGAUAUACAUCCAAAAAAUUAAUCAAACAAGAUAAAUGUAUUAAUAAAGAUAAUCGACGGAUAAUCUUUCCAUAAGUAAACUCGAAAAACCUGAACCUGUGCCUCCACCGAACGAGUGAAAAAUUAAGAAACCUUGCAAACCUCUGCAUCGUUCA